rnacentral:rRNA from 1 species
AGUGAACGCUGGCGGUAGGCCUAACACAUGCAAGUCGAACGGCAGCACAGGAGAGCUUGCUCUCUGGGUGGCGAGUGGCGGACGGGUGAGGAAUACAUCGGAAUCUACUCUGUCGUGGGGGAUAACGUAGGGAAACUUACGCUAAUACCGCAUACGACCUACGGGUGAAAGCAGGGGACCUUCGGGCCUUGCGCGAUUGAAUGAGCCGAUGUCGGAUUAGCUAGUUGGCGGGGUAAAGGCACACCAAGGCGACGAUCCGUAGCUGGUCUGAGAGGAUGAUCAGCCACACUGGAACUGAGACACGGGCCAGAAUCCUACGGGAGGCAGCAGUGGGGAAUAUUGGACAAUGGGCGCAAGCCUGAUCCAGCCAUACCGCGUGGGUGAAGAAGGCCUUCGGGUUGUAAAGCCCUUUUGUUGGGAAAGAAAUCCAGCUGGCUAAUACCCGGUUGGGAUGACGGUACCCAAAGAAUAAGCACCGGCUAACUUCGUGCCAGCCGCCGCCGUAA